rnacentral:rRNA from 1 species
UACGUAGGGUGCAAGCGUUGUCCGGAAUUAUUGGGCGUAAAGAGCUCGUAGGCGGUUUGUCGCGUCGAAUGUGAAAUCCCGGGGCUCAACCCCGGGCCUGCAUUCGAUACGGGCAGACUAGAGUUCGGUAGGGGAGUCUGGAAUUCCUGGUGUAGCGGUGAAAUGCGCAGAUAUCAGGAGGAACACCGGUGGCGAAGGCGGUUCUCUGGGCCUUACCUGACACUGAGGAGCGAAAGCGUGGGGAGCGAACAGG